rnacentral:rRNA from 1 species
CAGUAGCCGCGGUAAUACGAAGGGUGCAAGCGUUAAUCGGAAUUACUGGGCGUAAAGCGCGCGUAGGUGGUUUGGUAAGAUGGAUGUGAAAUCCCCGGGCUCAACCUGGGAACUGCAUCCAUAACUGCCUGACUAGAGUACGGUAGAGGGUGGUGGAAUUCCCUGUGUAGCGGUGAAAUGCGUAGAUAUAGGAAGGAACACCAGUGGCGAAGGCGACCACCUGGACUGAUACUGACACUGAGGUGCGAAAGCGUGGGGAGCAAACAGGAUUAGAUACCCGUGUAGUCCCUGUCUCUUAUAC